ACCGCUCUCCAAGGACUCUCGAGCAGCUCCAUCUACAGAUUCACAUGGAGAAGAAUUAAGGGUUCCUGCCAAUCACCAGCACCACUUUGCCAGCCUUACAGUUGGCAUCUGUGUGAAGAUGUGAAUGGAGGAGGCAGAGUAGGCAGUGAGUGCCGCAGCCACAGCUUGUGUUCUCUGCAGCCCUGGCACAGAAGAUAGGAACACUCAUGGGGGAUGCGGCCACUGUGAUGUCUUCCCACACAAGAAGUGCCAAGUGCUUUUCUCAUGCUUUUCUGGAUUGUCCCAUGGUGGACGAGUCAGCAGGAGUGAGAUGGAGCAGCACAGUAGAGGGGCCAGGAUAUCGUUGUACAUAUUCUCAGCUAAGUGAGCACCAAUAGAGGAGAGGGAGAGUCUCAUGGAAGUUCCUUCUAAGCCUUUGGCUCUUUUUACCUUCAACAAGGUUCCUUAGAUCCUGGGAUGAGGAGGUGGACCAGCAGAAGGUGGGCUUGUGAAGGCAGCCCGGGGUCCAAAUCCUCCUGGCUCUUCAGCUUAGCGGGUUAGUUAACAUUCAGAAGCCUUCAUCUCCCAUCUGCAAAAUGGGCAUGUCCAACUCAGAAGCUGCCUUGAAGAAAGGGUCUACCCAGCAUGGUGCGUGGAGCCUAAGCAGUCAGUACUUCAGGACUUCACCCGGCCCCUUUCCAAUAACUGCUGCUGUCGCCCUCACAGGAUGUCACCUUCAGCGUCUGAAAGCUGGGUUUGAUGCGUCUGGAAAGGCGUCCCUGACAGGCGUCGUUGCCAGGAGCCCCUAGUGCCACCAGCAGCCAGCAGGGGAGGGCGUCCUCUGCCCGCUCACUUCUGACCCUUCUCUCGUUGCACCCGGAACAUGGUGCAGCUGGGAGCAGCCUGGGCUGCGCGGAAGGCUCAGAUUUGGGGACGGCCCUUGCCAGUGACUGUGAGCUGGGGUGUCUUGGAAACUCCCAGUCUCAGCUUCUCCAUUUAUAAGAUGAGAAUGAUCAUACCAGACUCAGGCAAGGUUGUUUGUGCAUUAGUGAAAUCAGACGUAUUAAAUAAAGUACCACAUUGAUCGUGGAGUUGUUGAAUAACCAAGAA
rnacentral:lncRNA from 1 species